rnacentral:rRNA from 1 species
CCUACGGGAGGCAGCAGUAGGGAAUAUUGGGCAAUGGAGGCAACUCUGACCCAGCCAUGCCGCGUGAACGAAGAAGGCGCUAUGCGUCGUAAAGUUCUUUUAGAGGGGGCGAAAACACUUGAUUCAUCAAGUACUGACGGUACCUUCGGAAUAAGCACCGGCUAACUCUGUGCCAGCAGCCGCGGUAAUACAGAGGGUGCAAGCGUUAUCCGGAAUCACUGGGUUUAAAGGGUGCGUAGGCGGGAUUAUAAGUCAGAGGUGAAAUCUCGUCGCUUAACGACGGAAUUGCCUUUGAUACUGUUUUUCUUGAAAUUUGUUGAGGUUGGCGGAAUGAGACAUGUAGCGGUGAAAUGCUUAGAUAUGUCUUAGAACACCGAUUGCGAAGGCAGCUGACUGGACAAUAUUUGACGCUGAGGCACGAAAGCGUGGGGAUCAAACAGGAUUAGAUACCCUGGUAGUCCACGCCCUAAACGAUGUUUACUUGCUGUUUGUCUUUCGGGAUGAGUGGCGAAGCGAAAGCGAUAAGUAAACCACCUGGGGAGUACGCCCGCAAGGGUGAAACUCAAAGGAUUGACGG